GGGCACAUGGUGUAGUUGGUUUAUCACGCUCGCUUAGCAUGUGAUUUGCGAGAGGUGUCCGGUUCAAUUCCGGAUGUGUCCA